rnacentral:rRNA from 1 species
GAUGAACGCUGGCGGCGUGCCUAAUACAUGCAAGUCGAGCGAACGGACGAGAAGCUUGCUUCUCUGAUGUUAGCGGCGGACGGGUGAGUAACACGUGGAUAACCUACCUAUAAGACUGGGAUAACCUCGGGAAACCGUAGCUAAUACCGGAUAAUAUUUUGAACCGCAUGGUUCAAAAGUGAAAGACGGUCUUGCUGUCACUUAUAGAUGGAUCCGCGCUGCAUUAGCUAGUUGGUAGGGUAACGGCUUACCAAGGCAACGAUGCAUAGCCGACCUGAGAGGGUGAUCGGCCACACUGGAACUGAGACACGGUCCAGACUCCUACGGGAGGCAGCAGUAGGGAAUCUUCCGCAAUGGGCGAAAGCCUGACGGGGCAACGCCGCGUGAGUGAUGAAGGUCUUCGGAUCGUAAAACUCUGUUAUUAGGGAAGAACAUAUGUGUAAGUAACUGUGCACAUCUUGACGGUACCUAAUCAGAAAGCCACGGCUAACUACGUG